rnacentral:rRNA from 1 species
GACAGAGGCCCCGAGCGUUAAUCGGAAUUACUGGGCUUAAAGGGUGCGUAGGUGGACCAGCAAGUGCUUUGUGAAAGCCCCCGGCUCAACCGGGGAACAGCGGGGCAUACUGCUGGUCUUGAGGAAGGUAGGGGCCGCGAGAACUGUAGGUGGAGCGGUGAAAUGCGUAGAUAUCUACAGGAAUGCCGAUGGUGAAGACGCGCGGCUGGGCCUUUCCUGACACUGAGGCACGAAAGCGUGGGGAGCAAACAGG